CAGUGGUACAGCUCUUCUAGAAUUUGUCUAGAGGGUUUUCCGGUUUCUACCAGAAAAAUACCUUC